rnacentral:rRNA from 1 species
UCAGGAUGAACGCUGGCGGCGUGCCUAACACAUGCAAGUCGAACGAAGCACUUUGAUCGGAGAUUCGUCGAAGAUUGGAUUGACUUAGUGGCGGACGGGUGAGUAAUGUAUGAGCAACCUGCCUUUCAGAGUGGGACAACAGUUGGAAACGACUGCUAAUACCGCAUAAUGUAUUGAGACGGCAUCGUCAUGAUACCAAAGGAGCAAUCCGCUGAAAGAUGGGCUCAUAUCUGAUUAGUUAGUUGGCAGGGUAACGGCCUACCAAGACUGCGAUCAGUAGCCGGACUGAGAGGUUGAACGGCCACAUUGGGACUGAGAUACGGCCCAGACUCCUACGGGAGGCAGCAGUGGGGAAUAUUGGGCAAUGGGCGAAAAAGCCUGACCCAGCAACGCCGCGUGAAGGAAGAAGGUCUUCGGAUUGUAAACUUCUUUUAUGAGGGACGAAGGACGUGACGGUACCUCAUGAAUAAGCCACGGCUAACUACGUGCCAGCCGCCGC